AGCGGUAGAGAGAAGCUUGCUUCUCUUGAGAGCGGCGGACGGGUGAGUAAUGCCUAGGAAUCUGCCUGGUAGUGGGGGAUAACGUUCGGAAACGGACGCUAAUACCGCAUACGUCCUACGGGAGAAAGCAGGGGACCUUCGGGCCUUGCGCUAUCAGAUGAGCCUAGGUCGGAUUAGCUAGUUGGUGAGGUAAUGGCUCACCAAGGCGACGAUCCGUAACUGGUCUGAGAGGAUGAUCAGUCACACUGGAACUGAGACACGGUCCAGACUCCUACGGGAGGCAGCAGUGGGGAAUAUUGGACAAUGGGCGAAAGCCUGAUCCAGCCAUGCCGCGUGUGUGAAGAAGGUCUUCGGAUUGUAAAGCACUUUAAGUUGGGAGGAAGGGUUGUAGAUUAAUACUCUGCAAUUUUGACGUUACCGACAGAAUAAGCACCGGCUAACUCUGUGCCAGCAGCCGCGGUAAUACAGAGGGUGCAAGCGUUAAUCGGAAUUACUGGGCGUAAAGCGCGCGUAGGUGGUUUGUUAAGUUGGAUGUGAAAUCCCCGGGCUCAACCUGGGAACUGCAUUCAAAACUGACUGACUAGAGUAUGGUAGAGGGUGGGUGGGAAUUUCCUGUGUAC
rnacentral:rRNA from 1 species